UACGAAGGGAGCUAGCGUUGUUCGGAUUUACUGGGCGUAAAGCGUGCGUAGGCGGAUCGCUAAGUCAGGGGUGAAAUCCCCAGGGGCUCAACCCCUGGAACUGCCUUUGAUACUGGUUGGCUUGGAAUCCGGGAGAGGGAUGCCGGGAAUUCCGAGGGUGUAGGCGGUGAAAUGCGUAGGAUAAUCUGGAGGAACACCGGUGGGCGAAGGCGGCGAGUCCCUGGGACCGGGCA
rnacentral:rRNA from 1 species